GACGAACCGUGCGAACGUUGUUCGGAAUUACUGGGCGUAAAGGGCUCGUAGGCGGCCAACUAAGUCCGACGUGAAAUCCCAAGGCUUAACUUUGGAACUGCGUCGGAUACUGGAUGGCUUGAAUUCGGGAGAGGGAUGCAGAAUUCCAGGUGUAGCGGUGAAAUGCGUAGAUAUCUGGAGGAACACCGGUGGCGAAGGCGGCAUCCUGGACCGACACUGACACUGAGGAGCGAAAGCCAGGGGAGCAAACGGG
rnacentral:rRNA from 1 species